UACCCUGUAAAUCCGAAUUUGU
rnacentral:miRNA from 1 species